UUAUUUGUAUUCAUAUUUGAAUAAAUGUAUGUAAACUAUUUACAAUAAUCUGAAAUCUAUCUACAUUUCUAUUUACAAUGAGCGUAAACAUUUUAACAAUCGUGUACAUCGAGAAUAACGUUAGUAAUAUUAUUAAUUAAUUAUUACAUAAUUAUAACCGGUAACCAAAUUAUAUAAUAAAUUAAUAUUACAU